AACGAACGCUGGCGGCAGGCCUAACACAUGCAAGUCGAGCGAGGACUUCGGUCCUAGCGGCGGACGGGUGAGUAACGCGUGGGAACGUGCCCUUUGCUACGGAAUAGUCCCGGGAAACUGGGAGUAAUACCGUAUGUGCCCGAGAGGGGAAAGAUGUAUCGGCAAAGGAUCGGCCCGCGUUGGAUUAGGUUGUUGGUGGGGUGAUGGCCUACCAAGCCGACGAUCCCGAGCUGGGUUGAGAGGAUGAUCAGGCACACUGGGACUGAGACACGGGCCAGACUCCGACUGGAGGCAGGAGUGGAGGAUCUUAGACAAUGGUGGAAACCCUGAUCGAGCCAUGCCGCGUAAGCGAGGAAGGCCUUGGGGUUGUAAAGCUCUUUCAGUGGGGAAGAUAAUGACGGUACGCACAGAAGAAGCCCCGGCUAACUCCGUGCCAGCCGCCGCAGUAAAAC
rnacentral:rRNA from 1 species